UCUUUCAGAGUCCGAGUUGUAAUUUGAAGAAGGUAUCUUUGGGUCUGGCUCUUGUCUAUGUUUCUUGGAACAGAACGUCACAGAGGGUGAGAAUCCCGUGCGAUGAGAUGAUCCAGGCCUAUGUAAAGUUCCUUCGAAGAGUCGAGUUGUUUGGGAAUGCAGCUCUAAGUGGGUGGUAAAUUCCAUCUAAAGCUAAAUAUUGGCGAGAGACCGAUAGCGAACAAGUACAGUGAUGGAAAGAUGAAAAGAACUUUGAAAAGAGAGUGAAAAAGUACGUGAAAUUGUUGAAAGGGAAGGGCUUGAGAUCAGACUUGGUAUUUUGUAUGUUACUUCUUCGGGGGUGGCCUCUACAGUUUAUCGGGCCAGCAUCAGUUUGGGCGGUAGGAGAAUUGCGUUGGAAUGUGGCACGGCUUCGGUUGUGUGUUAUAGCCUUCGUCGAUACUGCCAGCCUAGACUGAGGACUGCGGUUUAUACCUAGGAUGUUGGCAUAAUGAUCUUAAGUCGCCCGUCUUGAAACACGGACCAAGGAGUCUAACGUCUAUGCGAGUGUUUGGGUGUAAAACCCGUACGCGUAAUGAAAGUGAACGUAGGUGGGGGCCCGUAUGGGUGCACCAUCGACCGAUCCUGAUGUCUUCGGAUGGAUUUGAGUAAGAGCAUAGCUGUUGGGACCCGAAAGAUGGUGAACUAUGCCUGAAUAGGGUGAAGCCAGAGGAAACUCUGGUGGAGGCUCGUAGCGGUUCUGACGUGCAAAUCGAUCGUCG
rnacentral:rRNA from 1 species